ensembl:lncRNA
GCUAAAGCCACACUGCUUUUUGGCUGAGACAGAUCAUGAUUUAGGAUGAGUAAAGGAGGACCAGGCUUUGGAGGAAAGAAUUCUAUUUAGGAUGUCUUGAGUUGGAAAUGCUUGUGGGGCAUCCUGGUGGAGAAAUUCAGGAAGUACCUGAAGAUGCAUUUAGAACUUCGGAGAAAAGUGAAAACUUCACUCAGCGUUUGUGUCUACUUUCCCAUCAGUUCAUUGCUCUGACCAAUACUUGCCAACACAACCAUGAGCAAACCUGGCAAAUGGACUGUCUUGGUCAAACUGGAAGCACAGGUUCCAGAAUAUUUUGAGCAACACUGGUGGGGCCACUUGUCAUCAACUCCAGAGGCAAGCAAAGAGCUCUCUGCCUACUUCUUCCGUCCUAUCAGAUUACACCUUUGAAAUUGGACCUGGCUGUUAAAACUCCAUGAGCUUGUCAGUAUACCCAAGGUUCUCUAACUUAAAAAAAUAAACUCUGCA